CCUACGGGAGGCAGCAGUGAGGAAUAUUGGUCAAUGGGCGCAGGCCUGAACCAGCCAAGUCGCGUGAGGGAAGACUGCCCUAUGGGUUGUAAACCUCUUUUAUAAGGGAAGAAUAAUGACUACGUGUAGUCAGAUGCCCGUAACUUAUGAAUAAGGAUCGGCUAACUACGUGCCAGCAGCCGCGGUCAUACGUAGGAUCCGAGCAUUAUCCGGAGUGACUGGGUGUAAAGAGUUGCGUAGGUGGCAUAAUAAGUAGCUAGUGAAAUCUGGUGGCUCAACCAUUCAGACUAUUAGCUAAACUGUUAAGCUCGAGACCGUUAGGGGUAACUGGAAUUUCUAGUGUAGGAGUGAAAUCCGUAGAUAUUAGAAAGAACACCAAUAGCGUAGGCAGGUUACUGGGACGGUUCUGACACUAAGGCACGAAAGCGUAGGGAGCAAACGGGAUUAGAUACCCUGGUAGUC
rnacentral:rRNA from 1 species